GGGCCCGCACAAGCGGUGGAGUAUGUGGUUUAAUUCGAAGCAACGCGCAGAACCUUACCUGGCCUUGACAUCCUGAGACAAUCUUAGAGAUAAGACUUCCACUUCGGUGGCUCAGUGACAGAUGCUGCAUGGCUGUCGUCAGCUCGUGUUGUGAAAUGUUCGGUUAAGUCCGGCAACGAGCGCAACCCUUGUCUUUAGUUGCCAGCGAUUCGGUCGGGGACUCUAGAGAGACUGCCUGCGCAAGCAGAGAGGAAGGCGGGGACGACGUCAAAUCAUCAUGGCCUUUAUGCCCAGGGCUACACACGUGCUACAAUGGUAAGGACAAAGGGCAGCGAGCCGGCGACGGUCAGCGAAUCCCAAAAACCUUAUCUCAGUUCGGAUUGGAGUCUGCAACUCGACUCCAUGAAGCUGGAAUCGCUAGUAAUCG
rnacentral:rRNA from 1 species